rnacentral:rRNA from 1 species
AACGAACGCUGGCGGCAUGCCUAACACAUGCAAGUCGAACGAGACCUUCGGGUCUAGUGGCGCACGGGUGCGUAACGCGUGGGAACCUGCCCUUAUGUUCGGAAUAACUCCCCGAAAGGGGUGCUAAUACCGGUUAAUGUCUUCGGACGAAAGAUUUAUCGCCUUUGGAUGGGCCCGCGUUGGAUUAGCUAGUUGGUAGGGUAAAAGCCUACCAAGGCGACGAUCCAUAGCUGGUCUGAGAGGAUGAUCAGCCACACUGGGACUGAGACACGGCCCAGACUCCUACGGGAGGCAGCAGUGGGGAAUAUUGGACAAUGGGCGAAAGCCUGAUCCAGCAAUGCCGCGUGAGUGAUGAAGGCCUUAGGGUUGUAAAGCUCUUUUACCCGGGAUGAUAAUGACAGUACCGGGAGAAUAAGCUCCGGCUAACUCCGUG